AUUGAACGCUGGCGGUAUGGCUAAAACAUGCAAGUCGAACGACAUAGUGGCGAAAGGGCGAGUAAUGCGAUCGAACGUACCCCGAGGUGGGGGAUAGCCUUUGGAAACGAAGGGUAAUACCCCAUGUCCUCUACGGAGAAAAGCUCCGGCGCCUUGGGAGCGGCGAUCGUCCUAUCAGGUAGUUGGUGAGGUAAAGGCUCACCAAGCCGAAGACGGGUAGCGGGUGUGAGAGCAUGACCCGCCGCAUCGGAACUGAGACACUGUCCGGACUCCUACGGGAGGCUGCAGUAACGAAUCUUCCGCAAUGGGCGCAAGCCUGACGGAGCAAUACCGCGUGUGGGAUGAAGCUUCUACGAAGUGUAAACCACUGUCAGGGUCUCGUACCAACGAACAGACCCAGAGGAAGGACCGGCUAAUUCCG
rnacentral:rRNA from 1 species